GAUGAAGAACGUAGCGAAAUGCGAUAAGUAAUGUGAAUUGCAGAAUUCCGUGAAUCAUCGAAUCUUUGAACGCACAUUGCGCCCCCUGGCAUUCCGGGGGGCAUGCCUGUCCGAGCGUCAUUUCUGCCCUCAAGCACGGCUUGUGUGUUGGGUGUGGUCCCCCCGGGGACCUGCCCGAAAGGCAGCGGCGACGUCCGUCUGGUCCUCGAGCGUAUGGGGCUCUGUCACUCGCUCGGGAAGGACCUGCGGGGGUUGGUCACCACUAUACUUUACCACGGUUGACCUCGGAUCAGGUAGGAGUUACCCGCUGAACUUAAGCAUAUCAAUAAGCGGAGGA
rnacentral:misc_RNA from 1 species